AAAUUAUCAACCAUGACUUGGGUUUAGGCCCUCGUUCUUGGCUUGGAUUUGGGUGCUUGCGGUCUUGCGCUGCUCACCUUAAAAGGAUUAGCUGGACAUGUCGUAAGACUUGGUUCUACUUGGCGUAAUAAGUAUUUCGCUGAGGACAUCCCUUCUGGGGUGGCCAAGACUCUCAACAAACGUCUGCUUUCUAACCCGACUGUCUUUGGACAUCACUUUUUAUG
rnacentral:misc_RNA from 1 species